rnacentral:rRNA from 1 species
GCCAGACUCCUACGGGAGGCAGCAGUGGGGGAUAUUGCACAAUGGGGGGAACCCUGAUGCAGCGACGCCGCGUGGGUGAAGGAGCGUUUCGGCGCGUAAAGCCCUAUCGGCAGGGAAGAAACAGACGGUACCUGACUAAGAAGCCCCGGCUAACUACGUGCCAGCAGCCGCGGUAAUACGUAGGGGGCCAGCGUUAUCCGGAUUUACUGGGGGUAAAGGGGGCGCAGACGGCGAUGCAAGCCAGGAGUGAAAGCCCGGGGCCCAACCCCGGGACUGCUCUUGGAACUGCGUGGCUGGAGUGCAGGAGGGGCAGGCGGAAUUCCUGGUGUAGCGGUGAAAUGCGUAGAUAUCGGGAGGAACACCAGUGGCGAAGGCGGCCUACUGGGCUUUAACUGACGCUGAGGCACGAAAGCGUGGGUAGCAAACAGGAUUAGAUACCCGUGUAUA